UUUUUUAAUUCUUUGUAGAAGAUAAUCAAGAAUUUUUUGAAGAAAUUCCUUCAAUCGAUAGUAUUGAUGGAAAUAAAAUAAUUAUGCAAGUACUUUUUUUUAAUAAAAAUAAAAAAAAAAAUUAUACCUCCUGUUUUUUUUUUUUUUUUUUUUUAUAAUUUUUUAUUUUUUUUUUAUUUUUUUUUUUUUUUUUUUUUUUCAAAUAUAGAGUGAAAAAAACGUAAGAGCUAAACUUUGGGAGGAUGAAGAAUUUUAUUUAAAAUUAAAAGAUGCUGAUAGUAUUAGAAGUUUUUAUUUUUAUGAUAGUUCGUGGACAAGACCUUAUAUGUCUUUAUUGGUUCACAAAGUUUUGGACGACAAUAUAAAUUUAUUUCCUUUUUACUAUCAUGAUGAUAUGGAAUACGAAAAUGACACUAAUGAGGAUUAUUAUGAAAGGUUUGAAGCGAUUGACUUGACCACUGAAAAUGAAGAUAAUGAAACGGAAAGUGACGGAAGUUCACAAGACAUGUUUAUCGUUCCUGAUAACGAACUAAAUACAGAUAUUGGUAUAACUCCUAUUACUAUACCAACAAGUCAAGACAUUCAUUUUUUUUCUCUUUUUGAUUGGCAAUGGACAUUUGAAGGAAACCCAAAGCGCAACUAUAAUAUUAUUGAUAAAAAUACAUGGAAGGAAUUUAAUCUGAUUAACAAAGAGAAUGUAUAUGGGUGCCAAUACAUGUUCUGGGGAAAAGACAACAAUCCAUUCAAAUAUAUGUCUGAAAAGAGCAACUUAAAAAACACUUUGGAUACAUACGAUAUUAAGAAAUUAAUAAAACAUUCUCAUGGAAAAGUAAUUAAAAAGGAUAUUCUUGUUGAUCAGUUUAAAAUGAAAAAUGAGCACCUAACAAAAGCAGACACAGAAAGAAAAUUCAAGACUUAUUUAACAUAUAAAAAAUGUGAAGACAAUAGAAAGGUAAAAUACUGCUAUUAAGUUUGUAAAUCCAUGUGUGUAACCAUGUUCAUAUAUACAUAUAUGCAUAUAUGUACAAAUUCUGAUAAGUCUUUUUUUUUUUUUUUUUUUUCCUUUUUUU
rnacentral:lncRNA from 1 species